GACGAACGCUGGCGGCAGGCCUAACACAUGCAAGUCGAGCGGAGCGGCGGACGGGUGAGUAAUGCCUAGGAAUCUGCCUGGUAGUGGGGGAUAACGUCCGGAAACGGGCGCUAAUACCGCAUACUAUCAGAUGAGCCUAGGUCGGAAUAGCUAGUUGGUGGGGUAAAGGCCUACCAAGGCGACGAGCCGUAACUGGUCUGAGAGGAGGAUCAGUCACACUGGAACAGAGACACGGUCUAGCCUCCUACGGGAGGCAGCAGUGGGGAAUAUUGGACAAUGGGCGAAAGCCUAAUCCAGCCAUGCCGCGUGUGUGAAGAAGUUCGUCGGAUUGUCAUGCACUUUAAGUUGGGAGGCGUUACCAACAGAAUAAGCCACGGCUAACUACGUGCCAGCAGCCGCGGUAAUAC
rnacentral:rRNA from 1 species